rnacentral:lncRNA from 1 species
AUGCGCAGCUGCCAGGCCAGCUCGAAGAAGGCGAGCAGGGUACGGGAGAGCCCCUUGCAAAAGACCCCGUAUGAAGAGGGGGCCGCUGCUGGGCUUGAGGCCCGGAUGGCCAAGGAGGAGGGAGGCGCCGCAGACCUCUGCCACAGCCAGCACCCGAGGGUAAAGCGGCCGCCGAGCGCACACCUGCGCGUCCUGCAGUCCCCGCUCGCUGCGACGGCGCUCGCUGCUACGGCGCUCCGCCCCUUCCUGUCAGCUUGCAGUGGUAUUCAGAGUUAACCAGUGGAAGAGCGGCCACCGGCGUGUUAUAUAACGUAGGCCAACGAUGUUUCAUGAGACAUCAUCUACUAUUGAUCUUCCAUUAAAAAUUGAAAAAAAUUGAUGUUUGUAAACCAUGUGUAUGGAAGAGUGUGAUGUAUAUGUAUAUAUUCAUGCAUGUAUUAUGGGAAAUAAUUUGAGAAUUCCUCUAGAGGUAGGGGAGAAAUUGCUUCUACUCUAACAAGGAGGAUAAACUACUGGGCCACAAAGUCGUUUACUUUGAACUCAGAGCUGAGAUUGCAAGGUAAGCAGGUAAACCGAAUUACAAAAGAUGAUGAGCCCUUCCAGCUAAAGUUGUUUCAUCUUGGUAGGACUGAGAGAGAAGUAUCUACCAUAAACGUAUGUCAGAAAAAAAUGGGUCCAACUUUAACCAAUUAUUAUAUUGUUUAAUAGUAGGUUAUAAAUUCAGUUUAGGAUCCGUGGAAUCCCCAGGUACAGUGUGAUUUGUAAUCGCUGCCACUUUUCUCUGGGCUGCUGUUAAGGGUUUGCAAGAAGGACUGGAGACAGGUCAGGAGAUCCAGGAAAGAUUCUUAUACAUGGCAUGGUAGGCAGAAUAAUGACCCUCAAAAUCUGUUUAUAUUUUAAUCCUGGGACCUCACUUGGUGUGAGAACUUCGCACAUGUGAUCAAGGAUAUGCACCUGGAUUAUUUAGGAAGCUCUAAUUAAAGGCUUCCUUAAAUGUAGAGCCUUUGUCUUAGCUAGAGAGAGGAAAGAAGGGAGAGGAGAGGAGAAAAGCCAAAAGAAGUAGAUUAUAAAUGUUUUCUAGUAGCUGGAAAUAGCAAGGAAAUUGAUUUUCUCUUAUGGCCUCCAGAUAGCAGUGCAACCCUGCUGACAACUUGAAUUUUAGCUGAGUCCUGUGUUAGAAUUCUGAUGUAUAAAACUGUAAAAUUGUGGUGUUUAAGUUACUGAAUUUGUGAUAAUUUAUUAUAGCAGCAGCAGAAUCUAAAGUACAUGGGAAUGUGGUCCACUUAAGUUUGAACUAAGCACUAGAGAAGGGGAUGGGGAUAUACCUCAGUGGCACAGUGACUGCCUGGCAAGCACAAGGUACCAAAAAAAAAAAAAAAUACUAGAGAAGGCUGCCUGCAUUUUAGACCCCAUAGAAUUGAAAGGUGGUCAUUGGCUACUGUUGGGGGGCAAGCAAGAGAACAGCUUAUGUACUGAGUGCUUCAAUAAGCAAGAUCUGCCACUGCCGACUGAGGAGCACUAUCCACUGUAAUUUGGACCCUACUGAUAACAAGCAAAAAGCUCUGGAACCAAAUCGAGUAAGAAACUUCCUCUGGACCUGCAAUGACAUAUGUUGGAGGUCUGCUGCUACAGAUGGACAGAAAAUUUUCUCUGGGUCCCAUAUGGACACGAGGCAGAAGCCACCUGCCACUGAGAAAAGGCAAACAACUAUCUAUAAUGGAUUGUUCAUGAAUACCAGGCAAAGGCCAUUUGCUGCUAGAAGGGGACCGGUUAAUCUCAUGAUAGACUUUGCACUGAUAAGAGACAUUGAUUGGUACUCAGGGAGGCCAGGAAGGGUGCCUGCCGCAGAUUCCUGUACGGACACGAGGUAAAAGCCAUGUGUUGCCACUGGGGUGGGAGGAGGAAAGCCACUUUUAACCAGGAUGCUACAUGGAUUGGUAGUAGUUUGUUACUGUGGGAGUGAUGGGAACACUAAGAAACCCCACAUUUGAGUGAAAAAUACAUAGCUGGUGAUAAAGGCAAUUGCUGGGGGAGAAGAAAAACACCCCACUGCUCCACCAUGAAACUGCACUGAGGAACAGGAAUGUGGAAAGUGGGUCUUUUUUGUAGUGUGUGGAUGAACUCCCGAAGCUGAACAUGAGUCCCAAAAUCUCCUUUGCACUUCAGCCCUUAUAAGGAAUACAAGGUCGUAGCAUUCUAUUGUUGUAGUACUUUGAAUCCAAAUGCAGAUAACACACGGAAUCACCUAAGUUUCACAUAGGAAUGGCCUGACAGAAUAGAAAUCAUGUCCAUUUCUGCAUGGUAAUAUUUACUUCAGAAUUUAUUGUACAUAUGCAAACAAACAUGCCAACCACCUGCCACCGGUAAGGGAAAACAAUGGCUAAGAGGUUGGAAUUAUCAGUCUUUUAUCAAGACUAAGCAGGUCCUGGCAGUGAAUGCCUGUAAUUCCAGCAUGUGGGGAGGCUGAGGCAGGAGGCUCAGUUUAGAGUCCAGCCUUAGUAAUUUAGAGAGUCUCUAUUUCAAAGAAAAACUAAAAAGGGCUGGGGUUGUAGCAUAGUGUGAAGGCCCUGGGUUCAAUUUCUCAUGUGUGUAUACGCAUGUGUACACACACACACACACACACUCACACGUGCACACAGUCACGAUUAUUGCUAAAAAAGGUGAGAAAUUUUGGAAAGAUGGUUAUACGAAGAAUUCACAUGAAAACACUGGACAAGAAAAAUUUGAUGUUGGAGAUGAGUGACUCAUUUGCUAGCUUAUUAAUAGUUUGAGCACAGUACAGACAAUCAGUGAUCAGUGAAGGUAAGUUAAUAGAAGAUACCUGAGCUGAAAACAAGAAAAUUGAAAGAAAAGGGAGAGAUGGGGAAGGCACAUUGGAAACACUGAGAGUACUCAUUGUCUUCAUGCAUUACAGGUGGGGAUAACACUGGCCUAGGCUCUUUGGAUAGCAGUUCUAUUGUUUUAAAACAAAAGUUAAAUGUACUGCUAAGCCUAGCAGUACCCCAACUUUGAAACUUGGGGAUGGCAGAGAGCAUCUAAAAAUAUUAAAUGUAUACAUUGUGUAUAGAUGCUUAGUUUUGAAUUUGCUUCAUUACACCUUGUGAUGACUUUUUGAUACCUAUUUGUUUUCUGUUUUUUUUUUUUUUAGUACUGAGAAUCAAACUGAGGACCUUACCAGGCAGGCACUGUGCUGCUGAGCUAUAUACCCUGCUUGAUACAUUUUAAGCCUAAUUCCAACCUCUUAGCCAUUCCUUUCUCUUACCAGUGGCUGGUGGUUGGCACGUUUAUUUACAUAGGUACAAUAAAUUCUGAAGUAAAUAUUAUCAUGCUCUUAACCAGAAGAGCUUCUUUUAAAAAUUUCUAGUGAGUUUAUAAUGGUACUUCCAAUUCAAAUUUUAAUGUCUAUUUCUUUUUUUCUCAUGCUGAAAAGUUUGGCCUCUAAGAGUACAUUUACAUAUUUUUGUGUACAUCUCUGUGUAUAGCACUUUUAAAUUAAUAAUACUUGGGUUACUUUCUAGCAAUAUUUGACAACAGCUUUAAGAUUUCUACUAAGGUAUAUCCUAAUGAGGAAAAAUUAUGUCUUAAGAUCGUUUGAACCAAGUUUACUUUUUAGUUAAACUAUCCAUCACAUAAGUGCCUUUUUUGAUUUUGAUUUUUGCAGAUUAGUAUUUCAUUUUGUAAUUUUGUUUAUGACUGUUUAAUGAAUUUUCU